rnacentral:rRNA from 1 species
GUUGAACGCUGGCGGCGUGCCUAACACAUGCAAGUCGAGCGAAGCGGGCACGGGUGUGAAACAUGUGUAUAACCUCCUCUAUGACUGGGGUAAAUUACGGAAACCGGAGCCAAACCCGACACUUAUCGCUGGAUCCAUGCUGUAUUAGCUAGUUGGUACGGUAACGGCUUACCAAGGCAACGAUGCAUAGCCGACCUGAGAGGGGGAUCGGCCACAAUGGAACUGAGACACGGUCCAGACUCCUACGGGAGGCAGCAGUGGGGAAUGUUCGGCAAUGGGCGAAAGCCUGAUGGAGCAAUGCCGCGUGAAUGAUGAAGGUCUUCGGAUCGUAAAACACUUUUAUUAGGGAAGCGGUACCUAAUCAAAAAGCCACGGCUAACUACGUGCCAGCAGCCGCGGUAAUUC